rnacentral:rRNA from 1 species
AUUGAACGCUGGCGGCAGGCCUAACACAUGCAAGUCGAACGAGUGGCGGACGGGUGAGUAAUGCCUGGGAAUCUACCUUAUGGAGGGGGAUAACUACGGGAAACGGUAGCUAAUACCGCGUACCAUAGGAUGAGCCCAAUUGGGAUUAGGUAGUAGGUGAGGUAAAGGCUCACCAAGCCGACGAUCCCUAGCUGGGCUGCGAGGAUGACCAGCCACACUGGGACUGAGAAACGGCCCAGACUCCUACGGGAGGCAGCAGUGGGGAAUAUUGCGAAAUGGGGGCAACCUGACGCAGCCAUGCCGCGUGAAUGAAGAAGGCCUUCGGGUUGUAAAGUGCUUUCGGUAGCGAGGCGUUAACUACAGAAGAAGCACCGGCUAACUCCGUGCCAGCAGCCGCGGUAAUAC